rnacentral:rRNA from 1 species
GAUGAACGCUGGCGGCGUGCCUAAUACAUGCAAGUCGAGCGAACAGACGAUGAGCUCGCUCCUCUGACGUUAGCGGCUGACGGGUGAGUAACACGUGGAUAACCUACCUAUUAUACUUGGAUGACAUCGGGGGACCGCAUCCACUACUAGCUCAUACAUUGUACGGCAGAGAUCAAUAGUUCUUCGCACCUUUCGCGUCUCUUUGAGACGGAUCCGUGCCGGAUUAGCUAGGUGGUAAGGUAACGGCCUACCAAGGCUACGAUGCGUAGCCGACCUGAGAGGGUGAUCGGCCACACUGGAACUGAGACACGGUCCAGACUCCUACGGGAGGCAGCAGUAGGGAAUAUUGCGCAAUGGGCGAAAGCCUGACGGAGCAACGCCGCGUGGGUGAUGAAGGUCUUCGGAUCGUAAAACUCUGUUAUUAGGAAAGAAAAAAAGUGUAUGAAACUACGCCCGUCUUGACGGUACCCAAUGAAAAAGCACCGGCUAACUUCGUG